rnacentral:rRNA from 1 species
UACAGAGGGCUCAAGCGUUGUUCGGAUUCAUUGGGCGUAAAGGGUGCGUAGGCGGCAGCGCAAGUCAGGUGUGAAAUCCCGGGGCUCAACCCCGGAACUGCACUUGAUACUGCGUUGCUUGAGUACUGGAGAGGAGAGUGGAAUUUACGGUGUAGCAGUGAAAUGCGUAGAUAUCGUAAGGAAGACCAGUGGCGAAGGCGAGUCCCUGGACAGUUACCGACGCUGAGGCACGAAGGCCUGGGGAGCAAACGGG